UGAAGUAGGAUAAUCCGCCUGACACGAA
rnacentral:sRNA from 1 species